AAAACAAGCCGCCUUAUCGCUUCCUGACUUUGGUUGGGGGGAGGAAAGUCCGGGCAACACAGGGCAGCGUACUUCCUAACGGGAAGGAUUUGUUUCGAUUCGUCGGAGCGGAGACAGACAGUGCCACAGAAAACAAACUACCCCGACUUGUCGGGGAAAAGGUGAAAAGGUGAGGUAAGAGCUCACCGGCCGGCUGGCGACAGACGGUGCAGGGUAAACCUUACGCGUUGAAAGGUCAAAUAGGCCCCGGGUAGGAACGGCCCGUUCCUCGCUCAGCAAUGGGCGUAACCGGGGUGGGUAGACUGAUUGAUCACGACAGCGAUGUUGUGACCAGAUAAAUGAUAAGGGCCCCGAUUCGUCGGGGAACAAAACCCGGCUUACAGGCUUGCUUUUAUU
rnacentral:RNase_P_RNA from 1 species